CAAGGAUGAACCAGACUUGUGGAGGUCUACAAUUUUUUUCUGAGGUCUUGGCUGAUUUCUUUUGAUUUUCCCAUGAUGUCAAGCAAACAGGCCCUGAGUUUGAAGUGUCCUUGGAUUUUGACCAGCAAUCACUGAGCAUCCAUCAGUGAGAAUCCAGUCAAGCGUGAACGGCUUAAGCCUCUCUACUCAGCUGUCAUAAUUUGUUAACGAGCCUUUUGAGAGAAAAAAAGAAAAAGCAAAGACAGGAAAAAAGAAAGAAAAAAGGAGCUCUUCACCAGUGACUGAAAGCAGAGGUCCGUCCAGAGGGAACCCAGGGGCUCUUCACCAGUGACUGAAA
rnacentral:lncRNA from 1 species